rnacentral:rRNA from 1 species
UACGUAGGGUGCAAGCGUUGUCCGGAAUUAUUGGGCGUAAAGAGCUCGUAGGCGGUUUGUCGCGUCGAAUGUGAAAACCCGGGGCUCAACCCCGGGCCUGCAUUCGAUACGGGCAGACUAGAGUUCGGUAGGGGAGUCUGGAAUUCCUGGUGUAGCGGUGAAAUGCGCAGAUAUCAGGAGGAACACCGGUGGCGAAGGCGGGACUCUGGGCCGAUACUGACGCUGAGGCGCGAAGGCUAGGGUAGCAAACAGG